AUUGAACGCUGGCGGCAGGCCUAACACAUGCAAGUCGAGCUAGCUUCGGACGGGUGAGUAAUGUCUGGGCAACUGCCCGAUGGAGGGGGAUAACUACUGGAAACGGUAGCUAAUACCGCAUACCAUCAGAUGUGCUCAGAUGGGAUUAGCUAGUAGGUGGGGUAACGGCUCACCUAGGCGACGCGCCCUAGCUGGUCUGAGAGGAUGACCAGCCACACUGGAACGGAGACACGGUACAGACACCUACGGGAGGCAGCAGUGGGGAAUAUUGCACAAUGGGCGAAAGCCUGAUGCAGCCAAGCCGCGUGUGUGAAGAAGGCCUGCGGGUUGUAAAGCACUUUCAGCGGGGAGGCGUUACCCGCAGAAGAAGCACCGGCUAACUACGUGCCAGCAGCCGCGGUAAUAC
rnacentral:rRNA from 1 species